UAUUUAUUAAUAACCAACACAUAUAAAUUUAAUUUAAUGGAGAAAAAUGAUUAUAAAAACACCACUAUAUUAUUUGAAGCUAUACAAUUUUCCAUUGUAUUCAAGGUUUUAUAUAGGGCGCAUCAAAAAGAGUCAUCAAAACUAAGCAAAAAGACAGUAUUUGAAAGAGUAAAGUCUUCUCAUGUAUGAACGCAACAAGUACGAUAAUUUUUUAUUAUUUAUUAACGUCAAUUCGCGUCUGUAUAAUUUGCUCACGCAAGACGUUUUUGUGCAUUGGGUAAGCGUGCAAAAAAGAAAAAGAAAAAGUCACGUGCCCCUGAACGGGUUCGUGUGCUGGUCAUUUUUUCUUUUUCACUGUUUAUAUGAUGAUGAAUAAAAGAAGUAUAAAGUAAAAACAUUGUAAUCUUAUGCACACGCUUCAGGUACAUACUGCAUACUAUAUGUAUACACCAUAUAAAAAAAAAUAUAUAUAUUUUCAAUACCGUUAGACGAAAAGAAGGCGUAUAUUCUCGUCAUCAUUUUAGCAUCACAACAAAAGCUUGACUUGUGAUGUAUCCUUGGUAUCCUUGACGUUAUACCGAUUGGUAAGAAUAUGUAUAUGCAAUACUUGAAGACAUAUAGAAAUAAUAUAACACAAACAAGAUAAGUUAAAAGUGAAGAUGGCGGUAAGUUUGGUACAGUGGGGGAUUUAAGCCAGGAUUGGCGUCACGCUGUCGGGUACACCGGUUUCGAGUUGCUCCUUCUUUUUUUUAUUUAUUUUUUUUUUUUUAUAAUUCUUGUUUUUCCUUUCUUUUUUCUCUAUAUACUUUUUCGUUUUUUUUUUAUUAUUCUUCUCCGUCUUUUUCUUUUUAUUUUUCUUCUUAUUCUUGAGGUAGUUUUGCAUCAGCUUCAUGCAAGUCAACUGUUAACAAAUACGACCCAUACGACGACUACAACAACGACGAAGAAAACAAACUGGGUGUACGUAGUUUUACUGUCGUAUCAACGGGAUACAUCGGCAGUCUAGGCACAUGUGCCUGUAGUUCCUCUUUCAAAGUAAAAAAUCUAAAAUAAAAAAUAAAUAAAUAAUAGUAAACUAAAAAAAAAAAAACAAUUUAUAUAAAAAGAUAUAUUAGCUUUCAAAUAAGGAAGAGAAAAGAAUUGAGAAUUGAUGACAAGCCAAUUGAAUUAUGAUGAAAUUGAGACUUUUAAAAAAUAUAAAAUAAAAAAAAAAAAAUUUAUAUUGCAGAAGGACAUGAACAAGCAUGAGGGUUUGUGCAGUGGUUUUAUCUUGGCUUCUGAAUAUAUUGAAAAAUUAUAUAUAUUUGUUACAGAGGUUGCCAAAUGUAUUGAAAAUUUUGACCAGAAUUUAAUAUGGUGUUGGUAAAAGUUUUUGAAUAUAUAAUAUAUAAAGUACGAUAGGCUGUUUAUAAUAUGCCUCAAGAGUAAAACUUGUAUAUUGCAUGUGAAUGAGGAUGAAAAUAGAGGAUGUUCGCUUCAGCAUUACCCUCAUUUCUGGACUCUGCAGUAUCAGAAGAUGGAGAGAGUUGCAAGACCACGUUUUGUACACGGUAGCCCACGGGCAACACGCCCUGAUGUACGUGGGGAUGCUGUUAAUAACAUGCUAUGCAAUUUCGUAGUGGUUGUUUUGUGUGCUACCGGCCCUUUGGACAACGGCCUAUAUAUACCCAUAGCCUUUAUUUUUACUUGAGUGCUGACGCAAUAUGUCAGCUGAUUGACGAAUGAAGUGUGCUUGUUAUUCCAUUAACGGACAAUCAGCAAAGUUUAUAUCGUGAUUGAGUGUCCCAAUGAUCCAUCAUACGCAGAUUGACUUGUUACAACGGAAUUUCAUAAAAGUAAAAAAUUAAAAAAUGAAUAUUCUUCAGACAAAAAAAGACACUGGUGAUAUGUGUCCGUGUGGUUUAUCAGUCUUAUCUUGGGUCCAAAGAACCAGGCGAACGCGAGUAAAUCGAAAAAAAAACAAGGCAAACUUUAUACGUCGAAACGCAAGCAACACAAAACGAGGGUCAAAAUCCUUGCGCUUGGAAAGGAUGGGAUGCGCAGUGGAUAUUGUGAGAGGUAGGGAUUGUGUUGGUAAACCAAGAGAAUGAAGAGAGUGUGAGGUAAAAUGAGUUGAUGAUAAAGUGAGACGAAAAAUUGGAACCAAGACUACUGCGCGUUUAGCUGUGCCUGUAGUACUCCAACUUCAAGUUUGUCCAAUUUUAUUGCUGAAUAGAUGGAUAAUAUUAAAUGAAAUUGUUAGAUAUUAACAUUUAUAAUAGAAAUCAUUUUUAUGAUCUGUUAAAAUGUUUAACAAUUUUACCAGUUGUCUGUUCUUUAUCCAUAUACAUAUUACACUGAGAAAAUAUAAUGAGUUUACUUGUCUUCCAAAAUGGCGAGGCUAAUUAGACAUAGCAGUAUACCAGUGAAAUCCUAUGUGUAUCCUUCUCAAUGGGGAAUGACUGUAUAUCUAGAACACUGAAUGCAUUCAAAGUGUCAAUGCGGAAGGGAAGAAGAGUGUCUUUAUUAUUCUGCUGGAGAGUGAAGAGGUAGAAAAUAUUAUGCAAAGUCGAUUCUCGGACAAGAAGGACUCAAUAAUACGUCUCUUCUAUUUACCCGCUCAUCAGACUCAUGCUACUCGUCCCUACUAUGGGUUAUCUGCCACUCGAAGACAUCCAAUUCAACGUCGUUCAAAACCAUCCAAACAAAAAUCAGCAAAAUUAAAAACCCCACACUCCAAAAGACACACUGUUUCGUCUGUUUAAAAUUAUUUGAAUUUUCUUGUAUCACCAAUAUCAGAAAAUUAAAAAAAAUAAGUCAACAAAACAACAACAUACUGAUAGACAAAUAAAAAUAUAUUGAAAAUGUGAUUGUAUAUCGGACACAUGCAUAAACAAAAAAUAUGUUUCAAAACAAAACCUCGAAUCUUUCGUCAAGUCACGUUUUCAGGACAAACAAAGUUGAUAUGUGCUUGGGGCGAAUAUUUUGAUACUUCUUGAAAACAAAAAAUCUCGAUGAGUAAAACGUGGAUAAGUAGAAAAAAAUAAAAUACAAAGAAGGGGAAAAGAAAUCGAGAUUUUUCCACGGAAUAAUUCAGGGAAAAAAAAUAAAUAAGCAAAGGGGAGUAUUCUUUUGGAUCAAAACACAAAGUAAUUAUAGGGCCCUGCUCUCAAUCGCCUCAUAUCCUCCCCUCUUUAUAUUGUAUCUUUAUAUACUCCUUUUAUUUAUUAUUUUUUUUCAUGGCCUCUUGUGGACGACUAUACAACAUCCCACUAUAUUCUGGAUUUACCAGCCGACCUUGGACACCAUCAACAAAAUGAAGCUUUUUGGAGCUCUUUGAAAAAUGAAAAGACAGUCAAAAGUACAUGAACGAUUCAUUUGAUUUUAAUUAUUUUAAAUCAUCUAGAGGACUUGUAGUCAAUAUAAAAAAAAAGACGAUUGUAAACUUAUAUUUUCCCAGGAUUAUAUCAGAAGUUGUUAAUCGACGCAGCUACCGUUGAGAUGAACAGAAAAAAAUAUAACAAAUGUACAGACUAAACCGCAAUGAAGCCUUCAGAUAAUCAUCGUUGAACGAAAAAAUAAGGUUUCAGAUUUGCUCAGUGUAGAUGGCUACCGUUCAUCCAUAACCAUUUGGAAGUAUCGCUGAGGGGCCCAUUAAUGUUGUGAGACCGGUUACCACCAGCUCUUGAGUCUUCAGCUAAACUUGAUGACUGAUGAGGAAGCAACUGAAAUGAAAAAAAUAAAAAUACACAUGAAGAAGCAAAAAAUAAUCAGUUGCAGUGCCCCCCUUUCUUGAGGGCGGGUUCGUUCUCUUCUGGAUACACUAAAUGCGCAGAAAAAGAGAUUCAGGUCGUGGUACGCAUGAGUGCACACACUAGCUGUAGAAUUAUUUCGAAAUUUUUUCAAGGGGGCGACAGAGGAAGGGAAGUACACUGAUCACCCGACAUAACAUAUAUAAUAUAUUUAUAAAACAUUUAUUAUUUUUGCAGAAUUAUCUAUUAGACCGUCAUGAAUAUCUACGCACAUAUAUGAGAUCGUCGUUGUCCUACAAUGUCUCUAUACAACGAUGCGAUCAGAGAAUUAUUAAUGGCAAAGACACUUGUGAUAAUGAUCACUGUCCUCAGGCAAUACGCAUUAUAAACUUAUAUAUAUUUAUAUUUUUUUUUUUUUCAAAACUCGCAUGGAGUUAAAAUGAAAAAAAAAAUAUAUAUAUUUUCUCAAGAUCAAUGUAUAAAUAAUUAUACCUACUUUGAUUUUUAAUUCAAUACAAAAAAAGAAAAUUAAAAUAAUCGAUAUAGUUUGAGAAUAUUAUUUGUACAUUUAAAUUUGAAAUAAAAAAAAAUUAAUUAUAUUAGGUCAUAUAUUAAGUGAGUAAAAAUUGAAAAAAAAAAAUAUAUACCUGUAUAAUAAAUUAAUAAAUUUUAAUUAUAAAUUAAAAUACGUUUCAUUUAAAAAGGUUAAUUGAGCGGGUUUAAUUUUUCUUUUUUUUUUUAAUUCUACUAAUCAAAUGUGUGUAUAUGAAAAUUUAGUAAAAUGAUAAAUUAUUAGUAUCAGUAAGAUAAUUUUUCUUUCUCAAACAACCGAGGUCGUUUUGGACAAGUUUUAACCGGUCUGACAUAGUGUCAAGGAUUCGUGUGGGAUAUAUAUAUAUGAAUACAUAUGUAUACUAUAUAUUAUCAUGAUAUUUAAUAUUUAUGUUGUGUUUAUAGAUAAAUAGCCACUGGGUUUACGCGGGUCUCCAUGGUAACCUCAAGAAACUAGCCACGAGAGACGCGUGUCAAAGCUAAAUAAUGUAUAAUACAUGUAUAUAUAUAUUGUUGGCUUUGUGAGCAAAACCAAGUAGUGGCACUGUGGCAGAUCAGCGCAGAAUUAAACUUUUAAAUAUAUUAUAUGAAGAAUAUCAACUUUCGCUGUCGGAGCGUCAAUGCCAUUGGUUUCUUCGUUCAACGAAUCAUUGUAUAUUCAUCAUUAAGAUUUCUCGAUUGAAGAUGGAAAAAGAUGGGGUAAAUAAAUGAAAUUUAAAAAAAUAUUUAAAAAGAUUAUAGCAGUGGAUGUGUAUUAAAACGAUUAUGUCCACUUCAGCAUUGAUAAGUUGGUGGGGAAAUUACGAUGCAGGUGUUGGCCUUGAUAGUUUACACAUGCAAUAAAAAAAUAAAAUGAAAAAGAAAUAUAUAUUUUCAUGUAUGUACAUUGACACAAUCAACAUUAUGUCUAAAUAAAAAAUGGCAAACAAUUUUUUGAAAAGAAGAAUCUUAUAUUACAUCUGAAAAUUAUCUAAACAAAAUUGAAUAUAAAAAAUUCGAUAAACAGAAAUCAUUGUGGCUGCUGGUGUUUUGCCUGUAUGAGGUCAAGAUGGUAAUAAAAAUAAACGAGCCACUCCUGUGACGAUUACCACAUCUGAUUUUAGAUUCUAUCUGCAGAGACACUAUCUGAUCUUAGUGAUAAUUUGCAAUACUCAAUAGAUGCAUAAGCUUUCGUGUCUCAUAUAUAGAAAUUGAUAUCUCAUACAAAAUUAAUGAAUAGGAAAAAAAAAACACCAAGAAAUUAAUUAAUAAUCAUAAAAAUUAAAAUGAAAAAAAAAAAAAUUAAAGCUUAUGGUUCAGUUGUCACUUAAGCAUAAUUAUACAUACAUUAGAUACACUUUAGAACCAGUGUUAUUGCGCACAAUUGUAUGACAAAAAUAUAUAUUUAUAUAUAUCAAAUACAUACAUGACAAGUACAUAUAUUUGAUAUAUAUAUGUAGCAAUAUAUCAAAUCUUACAGAACACAUAAAACUAUAGCACGAGCUCUGUACUUUCUCUGUUAUUAUAAGCUUAUUGUAAUUUAAUAACAAUGUUGCUACCUUUUUAUUCGUUGUUAUUUAAACGGAUAUAUAUACGCAACACUUGAAAUAUUAAAACACAUACAGCAUAAAAAUUUAAUUUACAAUUGCCAUGAAAUUGCAGUGUUUUUUUUUUUUUUUUUAUUUUCAAAUAUUUAAAAUAAUUAAAUUCAAUUUAAUUUUCUCAAUAAAAGCCAAUGAACUUUUUUUUUCUACGUAAUACAAAAUUAUUAAUUUAUUUUUUUUCACAUUAGUAUCUACUUUAAUGGCAACACAAAAAACAAUCUAUAUAUAUAUAUAUCAAUUGAAAAUAUAAAAAAAUAAAUUAAUCAUCUCAAUAAAAAUCAAAUAUUAUUUAUUAUAUUAUGAAAUUUAUUAAGAAUAUCACUUGGGUAAAAAUUGUAUAUUAAUAAUUGUCUCAUAAAUUAUAAAUUGAAAGUUUUCAAUGAGAACAAGAUCAUGUAUAGUUUUUUGUGACGUCAUAUACAGUGUGACCACGUGCUGAAGACGAUAACAAGUUAACGUGAGUAGUAUAGUAGCUUUCAAUACGAUACGCGAGAAUCAAGUUUUAUUUUUUAUAUUUGUUUAUUUAUUUUUUUUUAUUUACUAACUCUUCGACCACUGCACUUUUGUAUCGUAUGUUUGUAUCAUAUACAUAUAUUGCUUACUAAAUAAAUGUAUACAUGAAGCGUGACCCACGGAUCAAGGACGAUUUUACUCGCAGGGUGAUAGAGAUGGUGGUGGUGGAGAAGGAGGUUGUUGUGUAGCCACGACGACAACGACAAGACACGACGAUAGUCAAACAAAUAAAAAAGACACCAAUAACAACCAUACUACAAUAAUCAACAAGUGGUGCUGGUUUCUAUUCAUCUGGUAAAUUGCAAUAAAAAGCAUCAAUAAUGGUAGACCAAAAGCUCGAUGAAAACAAAUAAUAAUGAAAAAAAAAAAAAAGAAGAAAUUUGCAAGGAGAAAAUAAAUUUAAAAAACACACACACAAGUGUAUAUGAAGUUUAUAAUACAUUGCGUGUCUAUUGCACUGGAAAAAAAUAUGAGAAAAAAAAAAUAUACACUUGAUUUUUAUUGGCAUCUUGCUCAGACUGAUGCUUGAUAUGUAUGAUAUGAUCUUGCUCAUAUAUAUACGCGUCAGAUGAUAGAGGAGGAAGAAAAAAAAUAAAAUAAAAUAAUAAAUAAAUAAAUUAAAAAAACUGGCGAAUGACCGGGACUCACUUGCAUAUGUAUGUAAUCACAUACACACACAAAUAAACUUAAUCAACCGCAAAAGCAAGACGACGAGAAUUGCGAGAGUAUAUUAAAGAGUAAGAGAGUUGAAUUUAUAU